UUACAUCUUGUUUUCCCUCUCAUUUUCCUUCCUGCAACAUUAUCUACACACACAAAUAGAAGAACCAUACCUCCUACAAAAAAAAAUCAAACCACCUGUCUCCUCUCUCUAAUCCGGUGACCGGACUUGAGCUCCGGCGACCUCCCACGUCGGCGUCCUCCUUCCUUCCAGCAACCCAACCUCGCUCAAUCACUCCUCCACAGCCCUCAUCUCUGCUGAACGAACAGCCGGCCACCGUUAGUGGUGGCGGCGCACGGUGAGUGAGAGAGAGAGAGAGAGAGCCGCAAGAGAGAGAGAGAGACGCAGAAAGAGAGAGAGACGGCGGACGGCGGCGAUGCACGGCGACGACCCGGGGAGAACAGCGACGGCGGCGGCGCUCCGGUCAGUUUGUCCUCAGUUCAGUUCCAGGUGCGAGUUUUGACUCUUCGGUUCGAGUUUCGUCGGACUCAGGUUUCUGUCGGGUCAGUCGGUUCACUCGCAUUCAGCCGGUUCAUUUCGGAUCAGUUCAAGCUUGGCGAGCUCGGUUCCGGCAGUAAGGGUCUCGGGUUUGGGUUGUUUGGCUACGACUCCAGCUCGGGUCUCGCAACACAGUCGGCUCAGGUCACGACUCGGGUUUGGGUUCCGUCACGGUACGGGUCAGAUUCAGUGUGCGAGUCAACGUCGAGUUUUGGUUCAAACUUCGACCCGGGAUUCACGUCAGAGAUUAACUCAUCAGGGUGACUUCGGUGUUCCGUCCUCCAAUCUCAUCAACUCGUCAUACUUGGAUAAUCGGAAGACUUAGCAAUUUUGUUGACAGUCAAGAUGUUGAAGAAUCAAGUUAGGAUGGACUAGAUACCCAUUUUAAUAAUAAACCAUGUUUGUUGCAAUUUGUCUUUAUUUGAAUCAAUUGUUAUGA
rnacentral:lncRNA from 1 species